ensembl:lncRNA
GUGUCCCGAUGACGUCCUGAUGGCGUCCUGUUGGUCUGCAGACAAGGAGAAGAGACGUGAGGAGGAUCAUCAGGAUGUGUCUGUGUGUACAUCUAAUUGUUAGUGUGUCUGUGUGUACAUCUAAUUGUUAGUGUGUCCGUGUGUACAUCUAAUUGUUAGUCUGUCUGUGUGUAGAUCUAAUUGUUAGUGUGUCUGUGUGUACAUCUAAUUGUUAUUGUGUCUUUGUGUACAUCUAAAUAUUAGUGUGUGUCUUUGUUUAGAACCAAAUGUUAGUGUGUCUGUGUGUACAUCUAAAUAUGAAUGUGUCUUUGUGUACAUUUAAAUGUUAAUGUGUGUCUUUGUUUAGAACCAAAUGUUAGUGUGUCUGUGUGUACAUCUAAUUGUUAGUGUGUCUGUGUGUACAUCUAAAUAUGAAUGUGUCUUUGUGUUCAUUUAAAUGUUAAUGUGUGUCUUUGUUUAGAACCAAAUGUUAGUGUGUCUGUGUGUACAUCUAAUUGUUAGUGUGUCUGUGUGUGGAUCUAAUUGUUAGUGUGUCUGUGUGUACAUCUAAUUGUUAUUGUGUCUUUGCGUACAUCUAAAUGUUAGUGUGUCUGUGUGUACAUCUAAAUAUUAAUAUGUCUUUGUGUACAUCUAAAUAUUAGUGUGUGUCUUUGUUUAGAACCAAAUGUUAACGUGUCUCUGAGUACAUCUGUGUGUGUGUGUGUGUGUGUGUGUGUGUGUAUCUAAUUGUUAGUGUGUCUGUGUGUAGAUCUAAUUGUUAGUGUGUCUGUGUGUACAUCUAAAUAUUAAUGUGUCUUUGUGUACAUCUAAAUGUUAGUGUGUGUCUUUGUUUAGAACCAAAUGUUAGUGUGUCUGUGUGUACAUCUAAUUGUUAGUGUGUCUGUGUGUGGAAUUAAUUGUUAGUGUGUCUGUGUGUACAUUUAAUUGUUAUUGUCUUUGUGUACAUCUAAAUAUUAGUGUGUGUCUUUGUUUAGAACCAAAUGUUAGUGUGUCUGUGUGUACAUCUAAUUGUUAGUGUGUCUGUGUGUACAUCUAAAUAUUAAUGUGUCUUUGUGUACAUCUAAAUGUUAGUGUGUGUCUUUGUGUACAUCUAAAUAUUAGUGUGUGUCAUUGUUUAGAACCAAAUGAUAGUGUGUCUGUGUGUAGAUCUCAUUGUUAGUGUGUCUGUGUGUACAUCUAAAUGUUAGUGUGUGUCUUUGUGUACAUCUAAAUAUUAGUGUGUGUCAUUGUUUAGAACCAAAUGAUAGUGUGUCUGUGUGUAGAUCUCAUUGUUAGUGUGUCUGUGUGUACAUCUAAUUGUUAUUGUGUCUUUGUGUACAUCUAAAUGUUAGUGUGUGUCUUUGUUUAGAACCAAAUGAUAGUGUGUCUGUGUGUACAUCUAAUUGUUAGUGUGUCUGUGUGUACAUCUAAAUAUUAAUGUGUCUUUGUGUACAUCUAAAUGUUAGUGUGUGUCAUUGUUUAGAACCAAAUGUUAGUGUGUCUGUGUGUACAUCUGUGUGUGUGUGUGUGUAUGUGUGUCAUGCGUAGAUCUGGAUUUGCUCCUGAGGGGUUGACGUGACGUCCUG